AUGGAGGGGAGGAACAAACGGAUCCUGCCAGAACAUUCCCAGGUUUAUGAGGGCUUUGCACUCCCUUUAAACCACUGCGAACACCACUAAGCAUCCAGCUCCUUGCUUUGCCUGCUGAGAACAUCAAAGAGAUGCUCAUCCUGGCACACACAUGCACAGGGGAGGGCGCAGAGGGAGCAAGGAGGUGCAAUGCAAACUGGCAAGCUCCAGGCAGGAGGAGAGGAGAGGGAGAGAGCCCAGUGGUUGCUGCCACUGCCAGCCAGCACAGCCACACCGUGCCACCAGCUGGGUGACACCUCAGGGACCCUCCUGAGCGCUGAACAGGGUCAGAGCCCUGCGCAGCAACGACUCCACAGCUUCACCCCAGCAGAUUCUCCAGCAGAGCUCGGAGCCACGGAAGAUUAAUGAUCAGCCCUUGUGCAUCCACUAAUUUAGUGGAAAAGGGGCAAGGCAGGGGAAAGGAAUAUAAUCGGGAUGUUUUCUACAGUGCCAGCUUGGAUUUGGAGGGACAAAGCAGCAAAUAGGGCAGCAGAGACUGAACAUUCAGAAUUCCUCUGUGUCUUUUUAGGGCUAUCCAAGGGAAAGGGGUUGAGCCCUAAAAGCUGACAGCAUUCAGUGCAGAUCAAAGUUAUACUGGAGGAAACAACCUGCCUGGACAGGAGAAGGACCCAGGACUCCCUUGCCCAUGGAUCAUGUUCCUUCAUUCUUUGGAGCCUCAAAUCUACCUCCCUACCCAAACACAACACUUGGGAGAAGACACCA